rnacentral:rRNA from 1 species
UACGUAGGGGGCUAGCGUUGUCCGGAUUUAUUGGGCGUAAAGAGCGUGUAGGCGGCCAGGUAGGUCCGGUGUGAAAACUCGAGGCUUAACCUCGAGAUGUCAUCGGAAACCAUCUGGCUAGAGUCCGGAAGAGGAGAGUGGAAUUCCUGGUGUAGCGGUGAAAUGCGCAGAUAUCAGGAGGAACACCGGUGGCGAAGGCGGGUCUCUGGGCAGUAACUGACGCUGAGGAGCGAAAGCGUGGGGAGCGAACAGG